rfam:Sutterella wadsworthensis 2_1_59BFAA genomic scaffold supercont1.11, whole genome shotgun sequence.
UGCGUCGCGAGGCGUAGGCUGAAAGAAGCUGGAGGCAAACCCUUGAGCUGAUGAACAAGAACCUCAUCAGGCAUACGACGGCGGAUAAGCUCGCAAGGCAGAGUGAAGUCCGACAACUGCACGGAGCCGUUGGUGUAAAUGAGGCAGCUGCAUGAGGGGAAAGAGCGUGUU